rnacentral:rRNA from 2 species
GGGAGUGCUUGCUUGCAAGAACCUAAAGACAGGUGCUGCACGGCUGUCGUCAGCUCGUGUCGUGAGAUGUUGGGUUAAGUCCCGCAACGAGCGCAACCCUUGUCAUUAGUUGCUACGAAAGGGCACUCUAAUGAGACUGCCGGUGACAAACCGGAGAAAGUGGGGGUGACGUCAAGUCCUCAUGGCCCUUAUGGGUAGGGCUUCACACGUCAUACAAUAGUCGGGACAGAGGGUCGCCAACCCGCGAGGGGGGAGCCAAUCCCAGAAACCCGAUCGUAGUCCGGAUUGCAGGCUGCAACUCGCCUGCAUGAAGUCGGAAUCGCUAGUAAUCGCGGAUCAGCAUGUCGCGGUGAAUACGUUCCCGGGUCUU